UACGUAGGGAGCAAGCGUUGUCCGGAAUCAUUGGGCGUAAAGCGCGCGCAGGCGGCCCGCCAAGUCCGGCGUGAAAGCCCCCCGGCUCAACCCUGGAAUGCCGGUGGAAACUGUCGAGCUCGAGUCCGGAAGAGGCGAGUGGAAUUCCUGGUGUAGCGGUGAAAUGCGCAGAUAUCAGGAGGAACACCAAUGGCGAAGGCAGCUCGCUGGGACGGUACUGACGCUGAGACGCGAAAGCGUGGGGAGCAAACAGG
rnacentral:rRNA from 1 species